rnacentral:tRNA from 1 species
UUUGGAGUAGUUUAGGAAAAAUAUAAGUAUGUGGGAUUUGAGAAGAGCUUUUGUAUUCCUCCAAAA